GACAGAGGAUGCAAGCGUUAUCCGGAAUUACUGGGCGUAAAGCGUGCGCAGGCGGCUUUGCAAGACAGAUGUGAAAUCCCCGGGCUCAACCUGGGAACUGCAUUUGUGACUGCAUGGCUAGAGUACGGUAGAGGGGGAUGGAAUUCCGCGUGUAGCAGUGAAAUGCGUAGAGAUGUGGAGGAAUACCGAUGGCGAAGGCAGCCUCCUGGGCCAACACUGACGCUCAUGCACGAAAGCGUGGGGAGCAAACAGG
rnacentral:rRNA from 1 species